rnacentral:rRNA from 1 species
UACGUAGGGGGCAAGCGUUGUCCGGAAUCAUUGGGCGUAAAGCGCGUGUAGGCGGCCAGAUAAGUCCGUUCUGAAAGCCCGGGGCUCAACCCCGGGAGGCGGAUGGAUACUGUUUGGCUCGAGUCCGGAAGAGGCGAGUGGAAUUCCCGGUGUAGCGGUGAAAUGCGCAGAUAGUCGGGAGGAACACCAAUGGCGAAGGCGAGCUCGCUGGGACGGUACGUGACGCGUGAGACGCGAAAGCGUGGGAGCAAGCAGGGAUAAGAACCCGGUAGC